UGACACUGACAUGGACUCAGACCUCCUUAAACUAAGCUUCCCCGCUCCUAAGAAGCACCCCCCAGGCCAGGAGGCCCUUCCAAGAGAGCUGCUGCCAAGAAUUUCCCUCCAUCAGCGUCCACCCUCAGGGAGCCUCUGAAUCAAUAAGGCCUUUCUAUGCACUCCUUGGCUCAAGGAGGCUCUAAUUAGCUUAAGGAAGAAGGAAAGUUAUUGGCUUGUUUAAUUCAAAAGUCUGAGGUUAGUGCUGGCUUCAGGCACAGUUUGAUACAGGGGCUCAAAUGACGUCAAAGAACCCAGGCUCCUCAUCAGCUUGGAUUUAUACCCUCAAAUGUCAGGUUCAUUCUCAGCAGAUUUUCUUCUUACAACAGCACCGCUGCCACAGUUUCAGACUUUGUACCAUCAUAGCUCCAAAUUCACAGGAUAGACCCGUCGGCCACGCCAACCUGAAUGGGUUGUUAUGGAGAUAAAAUCAGAAGAUGUCUCUGAAAUUGCUUUGUAAACUGUGAAGUUGCAUCCACAUGUAAAGCAUUGGUAUUAAGGAGCUGAAUAAAGCCUCCAUGGCAAGGAAAACUGUCAGUGAGAAGUAGAAAUACUCCCCCUCACAGCGACGCCACAGGGGUGACAGCGAAAGAACAGCUGCUCAGCACCCGAGCUUGUCGGGAGAAAACACAGUGUCAUCAGAAUAAACCGCAUAAAUAGAACCCUCUUGGAGUCGUGCACCACCUGUUCCCACAGUUACCAUCAGCCAGGCUUCACCACAACCCACCUACUCACGGAGGGCUGAGAGGACAGAAGAGAGGACCCUGUUUUACAGAGAGGUAAACUGAGGCCC
rnacentral:lncRNA from 10 species